AUAAUUGAUGUGGGAGGACCUCGUUCACU
rnacentral:piRNA from 1 species